UACGGGGGGGGCAAGCGUUGUUCGGAAUUACUGGGCGUAAAGGGCUCGUAGGCGGCCAACUAAGUCGGAUGUGAAAUCCCCAGGCUCAACCUGGGAACUGCAUCCGAUACUGGAUGGCUUGAAUUCGGGAGAGGGAUGCAGAAUUCCAGGUGUAGCGGUGAAAUGCGUAGAUAUCUGGAGGAACACCGGUGGCGAAGGCGGCAUCCUGGACCGGUAUUGACGCUGAUGCGCGAAAGCCAGGGGAGCAAACGGG
rnacentral:rRNA from 1 species